GACGUAGGGCGCAAGCGUUGUCCGGAUUUAUUGGGCGUAAAGAGCUCGUAGGCGGCUUGUUGCGUCGACCGUGAAAACCCGUGGCUCAACUGCGGGCUUGCGGUCGAUACGGGCGGGCUAGAGUUCGGUAGGGGAGACUGGAAUUCCUGGUGUAGCGGUGAAAUGCGCAGAUAUCAGGAGGAACGCCGGUGGCGAAGGCGGUUCUCUGGGCCUUACCUGACGCUGAGGAGCGAAAGCGUGGGGAGCGAACAGG
rnacentral:rRNA from 1 species